GGAUUCUCCAGGCAAGAAUACUGGAGUGGGUUGCCAUUUCCUUCUCCAGGAAGACCUGCUCCUUUUAAAUCAGUUUAUUCUCCCCUGAUCCAUUCUCUUCUAGAUACUUUAUCCACAUAAACCUCAGCUAGUCUUAGCGAGCAGACAGGCAUCCAGGUAGAUCCUAUUCAUACACUGCCCACUUACCGAGUAGCUUGGUCUUUGGCCCAGUGUUAACUAAGCUCAAGUGAGUGGUAUAGAAUGGUAACCACGUGAACAGUUUCUUCCCCUGGUUCUUGAGAAAGAAGGACAGAUCACUCCCAUUCUUCUUUCCUUCCCAUUGACAAAUGGUGGUCCAGAUGACCUUAACUCACAGAUAUUAAGACAAAUACACCAGGUUAUGGGGUCACGUGUGGAGGACUGCAAAGUUAUCCUUCCAGCCCUUAACCACCCAGCCGUAUCUCUGGGGUGUUCCAGGAGAGACGCAAACAUCUAGCUUAUCAGAAUCAAGGUGAUCUUCUGCAAAGGACCAGUCACACACGCCUGUAGGUGUGACCACAUCUGAUGGUGAUGUAGAUACUCUGAAGCUAAAUACCUGAAUCUUUUAUGCUUAAAAAUAUUCCUCAGAAGUAAAAGGUGAUGAGUAAUUUUGCAGUGGGGAAACCUGAAACGCUUGGUUAACCCAGUGAUCAAGGUCGGUAUCAACUGGGUUAUGUCUUACUGACAGCAUGUGACCUUGAUAUGAUGUGUGUGAGAAGGCCACUUUACCUCUGGGGUCUUUCUCCAAAAUGCCUGUAACCUCAGCAUAAUCGUGAGAAAAACACUGGGGAAAAUGAAAUUGAAAGAUGUUCUACAAAAUACCUGCCUAGCAUCCUUCACGGAGAAGGCGAUGGCACCCCACUCCAGUACUCUUGCCUAGAAAAUCCCAUGGACGGAGGAGCCUGGUAGGCUGCAGUCCAUGGGGUCGCGAAGAGUCAGACAUGACUGAGCGACUUCACUUUCACUUUUCAGUUUCAUGCAUUGGAGAAGGAAAUGGCAACCCACUCCAGUGUUCUUGCCUGGAGAAUCCCAGGGACGGGGCAGCCUGCUGGGCUGCCUUCUAUGGGGUCGCACAGAGUCGGACACAACUGAAGCGACUUAGCAGCAGCAGCGUCCUUCAAAGCUGUCAAGGUCAUCAAAACCAGGGAACGUCUGAGAAACCGUCAGAGCCUCAAGGAGACCAAGAAGCUAUGACCCCCUAAAAAGUUUAUGUGAUACCCUGGUUAGGAUCCUGGUGCAAUGCAUGGACAUUUAGGGGAAAGCUAAGGAAAGGCAAAUAAAAUACAGAUGUUGGUGAAUAAUAGUUUGUCGACAUCAGUUCAUUGGUUAUGACAGAGUACCAGGUAAAUGGAAGACCUUAAAAUGUGAGGGGACUCUGUAACAUUCUUGCAGCUUUCCUGUAAAUCUAAAGCUAGGCUAUAACAAGAAGUUUACUAGUUUUUUUCCCCCCCAAAGUGGGUCUUUGUUGCUACUCUUGUGCUUUCUAGUCGUGGUGAGCAGCGGCUACUAUUCGUUGGCAGUGCACAGGCUUCUCAUGUCAGUCUCACACUCAGAAGUUCCAGCGUGAGGACUUGUGUUUCCUCUUUAUGCAUGCGUACUCAGUCGUGUCUGACUCUUUGCGACCCCAUGGACGGCAGUCCUCCAGGCUCCUCUGUCGAUCAGAUUCUUCAGACAAGAAUACCCAAGUGGGUUGCCAUGCCCUUCUCCAGGGGAUCUUUCCCAACCCAGGGAUGAAACCCACGUCUCCUGCAUCACAGGCAGAUUUACCACCUGAGUUACCACAGAAGCCCUGAUAAAGGAAAGGAUAUAAUCUGGCUGAGAAUGAGGGCUAUAGUCAUGGGAUCUCAAGGUUCAGGAAUUAAAAAAAAAAAAAAAGCAGGAUCUUAUCCAAAGACUCAGAAAAAAAUUGCAUGAGAUGUCAGGAUGGAGUAAGCGUCCAAGAAACUGGAAGCAAAGGCGAGUCCCAUGAGGGUUUACUCUCCCCAAGCUGGAUGCUCUGUAAUUUGUAUCUUCCACCCUGCUUGUUGGUUUCAUGAGCUACACGGCCACUGCUUGCGAAACAUGGCUAGCCAGACCCCCGAAACCCCGUUCACCCAUUUACCAGCAUAGAUGUGCUGAUGUUUCUUCACUAGACAGUAAUGGGAGCCCUAAACGUGCGAAUGAGGGUGCUGGCCAGGGUACCCAGCUCCAGUCUCUGAUGUAAUUGUAGGCACAUACCUUUCUCAGCUUUCUCAUCUGUCGAAUGAAGGUAGUACACAUCCCCAGCAGAGAGGUGUGAUAGCUAAGGAGCAAAUACAGAGCACAAGCAGAUACUGGGGGACAUAGAUCAGCUUAGCACUGGACCAUUCAUAGGAAGAUGUGUGUAAAACGAUGGGCCGCAGGAGUUGAAGGCAUGGGCUGGGAACCUGCAGAUACAGGAGAGGACUGGAUGAUGUAGGUGAGGGGAUAAAGAGGCUAGAGGGCUGGAGAUGGAAGAUGUUUGCAGAAGGACAUGGGCUACAGAAAUAGAACCACCCAUGGCCAGAGAGAGGGAUGUUUGAUCAAAGAUGCCUGAGACGAAGACAUCCCAAAUGGUGACAGUUCAGUUCAGCUCAGUUGCCCAUUCGUGUCCGACUGUCUGCGACCCCAUGGACUGCAGCACGCCAGGUUUCCCUGUCCAUCACCCACUCCCGGAGCUUACUCAAAGUCAAGUCCGUCAAGUCGGUGAUCUGUGACCCCACGGACUGCAGCAUGACAGGCCUCCCUGUCCAUCACCCACCCCCGUAGCUUGAUCAAACUCCUGUCCGUUGUAUCGGUGUUGGCAUCCAAUCAUCUCAUCCUCUGUCGUCCCCUUCUCCUCCCGCCUUCCAUCUUUUCCCAGCAGACUGAAGCAAAGACGGGGGCUAUUGGAGUGGGUGGUUUGGGGACAUCCAGACGGCAGAGUCCCUAGUGGCUUCUUGGUUCCAUAAAGGGAGAUGUUCAUAAAAGCAGGAAGAUGGAAAAAGGAGCAAAGCUCUGGGCAUCACAGACAGGACCACAGACAGAUGAAUCAGGGCAGAAGGGGACAGUGGCCGGUAUCCAGAGAGGGCACAUGAUACCAUCGAGGAACUGACGCUGUAAUAGGCACAGUGUUCACAGAUUUUCACAAGAGUUAGAGAGAAAUGAAAUUUGCUUGAUGUGACCCCAUAGUAAGUACUGGAGAAGGAAAUGGCAACCCACUCCAGUAUUCUUGCCUGGAGAAUCCCACGGACAGAGGAGCCUGGUGGGCUACGGUCCAUGGGGUCGCAGAGAGUUGGACACUACUCAGCGACUAUCAAUCACUCACUCAGUACUAAGUACAUUCCUUUAUCUGACCUGGUUUGAUUCCAGGUUGCCCAUCACAGUGAUAACGUCCAGGCUUUGAAUGGGCCUCUCUGGUGGCUCAGUAAAUGGUAUUAGCUUGUUUUUGCUGACGGGUCCUGUGAACAGUCAGCUGUGGGUUUCUGAAGGUCAGUGGACUGCAUGUGAAGGUCAUCGUUCUCAUUUCUGUUGGGUGCUGGAUUUACACCCUCGAACCGCGUUGUGAUCCGGAGGGGUCUUCCUGUUCUCUUCUCAUCUGUGCUGGGUUCUCUGUUGUGAAAGAGGCCAAACCGUCAGGAAAAAGGUCAUGUUUUAUAGGGCCAGAGGUAGUUGCCAAAGCAAGACGAUGUAAUCGAAUGCGGUUCUUUGUCUCGUAACUUGAGCAGUGCCGUUCUGCACGCAGAAGAUAAAAUCUGAAACUGUCCUCCAGCGCUGGCUGGCUUCAAGGAUCACAAGUCCCAUGACAUUUUUAACCUUUCAUUGCAUCCUCCGUUGUUUUUUCUAGCUAACUGGGAACUUGACCUCAGAACUACCAUUGUUUUCCUUUUCAUCUUUUUAAAAUGACUAACCAAAUGUGACUUUCUUUCAAGGGCUAUCUGUGUCAAGAAUUUUAAAAGUUACUAAUCUGAGUGGUUCUGGAAUUCGUAACUGAGCUUGGAUUUUUGACUGGAUGUGACCUUCAUGAAGACACCUCUUGUAUUGUCCCAGAUUGCAAAACUAGUACACAAUAGGAUUGAUUCAAGAUUGUGUCUUUAAAAAGCUAGCUCCUUACUGCUGAUGUAAGAUUCUGGAUCACACUGGCAUUGAAAAUUCUUUUCCAUACAAAGGAAUAUAAUCGCAGAAAACAAAAUCACCACUUGACUGCCAGAGGUUUUUUUUUUUUUCUUCCUUGAGGUCAUUGUACCUUCGUUGAACUCUGUUUUAACUGUGAGCAGAUGGCACCUAGAUUUUGCUGGGAGCUCUGACCUUGAACGUGGAUGGCAAGUUGCUGGAUUUUGUUUCUCUGUGGUUGGAGAAUGACACUGAAGACCCCGAGUAGCUGGGGAAUCCUGUGUCUGCCUGGGGCUUACAGGCAAGGCAACCGACGAGCUGACCUCUGGUUCUUUUUUCUGUCGUGUGAGUCUAGAAUUUCUAUACAAACAUCACAUGACCUGGAGAGCCCAGUAAAAUUGCUAAAGAAAUGCAGGCUUUCUGUCACCUCCUACUACUGUUGACUUUGGGUCUGUUCGAGGACCAGCCGUUUAACCCUUGUGAUGACCGGAGGCCCUCAUCAGUCCAGUGAGGGAGGCUGGGCAGAGAUUACGCAUGCUUCUGAGCUACCGAUGAGAAUAAUUCAUGGUGGACGAUGCUCAGGUGGAAGGUGUGGUGUGAAAGAGGCUGGUUCAAGCAGCGAUUCGUCACAGCCCUUUAAUGGUGUCAUCGUUUCAGCAGAAGCUACGGUGAAUAAUGUUCUGUCUUCACUAGGGGAUCCUUUUUUUUUCUUUUUAAGUGGCACUGGAUCCUUUUAUCUGUAAGAACUGGAUUGAGAUAUAACUCAGAAAAUAUACUGCAUGUGAAAGUGAAAGUCGCUCAGUUUCAGAGACAACCUACUGACUAGACAACAAUAAAGACCACUAUCUCAUACCAUAUCCAAAAAUUAACUCAAAGUGACUUAAAGACUUACAUGUGAAUCCUGAAGCUGUGACACUCCUCGUAGAAGACAUAGGCAGUAUGCUCUUUGACAUGAAUCUCAGCGGUACUUUUUUGGAUCUGUCUCUUCAGGCAAGGGAAACAAAAGCGAAAAUAAACAGAAGAGACGAGGUCAGGCUAAAACGCUUUUUCAGUGCUUGCUUUAGGAGCACGUAUGCAACACUGGAGUGAUACAGAGAAGAUUAGCAUGGCCCCUGGGCAAGAUGAUAUGCAAAUUUGUGAAGCAUUCCAUAUUUUAAAAAAUUUUUUAAAAAUUAAAUGUUUUGUACAGUUAAGCAAACCAUCAACAAAACAAAAAGGCAGCCUACUGAAUGGGAGAAGAUAUUUGCAAGCGUUACGCUCGAAAGGCUUAAGAUGUGUGUGUGUGUGUGUGUGUGUGUGGAGAGAGAGAGACAAGGGAGCGGAGGAAACUCAUACAACUCAAUAUUAAAAAAAAUAAAAUAGUCCUAUGAAAAAAUGGGCUGAAGGUAUGAAUACCACAUGCCAGUGGUCUGUAGGCACAUGUAAAUGGGCUGGACAUUACUAAUUAUCAGGAAAAUGGAAGUCAAAAUCCCAAUGAAGUAUCCCCUCACACCACUCAGAAUGGCUAUCAAAAAAAAAUAAGUGUUGGUGAGGAUGUGGAGAAAAGAGAACCCUCCAGCCCUGUUGGUAGAAAUGUUAAUUGGCACGGCCGCUGUGGAAAGCAGUUUGGAAGUUCCUCAGAAAGAUUAAGAGAAGUACUGUAUGAUCUCGAUUUUCACUCAUGGGUUUUUAUCUACAGAAAGUGAAAGCACUAAUUUCAGAAAUUACAUGUACCCCAGUGUUCUUAGCAGUGCUAGUUAACAGUAGCCUGGACAUGGAGGCCACCUAAGUGUCCCAUCAACAGAUGAAUGGGUGCAGAAGAUGUCGUAGAUAUAUUCAAUGGAGUAUUACUUGGCCAUAAAAAGAAUGAAAUGUUCACAGCGUGGGUGGAAUUGGAAGGUGUUCUACUUAGCAAGAUAAAGGAGAGAAAAAUUACUAGUGUGUUUUUUUUCACUUACACGUGGAAUGUAAAAGAUAGAACAAGUGGACAGGCACAAGAAAAAGGAAUAGACUCACAGAUACAGAAAGCAAUCUAAUAGUUGCCAGAAGCAAAGGGCUGGCAGGAUGGGGGAACUAGGUGAAGGGGAGUGAGAGGCACAGAGUGCCAGUUAUAAAAUAAAUAAGGGAGAGAAUGUGUAGUGGAGGGAAUAUAGUCAACAAUAUGAUAAUAAGCCCAGUCCAUCAGUAUCCCUGAUUUCAAAUAAAGACAAUGUCAUUUCAGGUGCUUCCUUGGUGGCUCAGAUGGUAAAGAAUCUGCCUGCAAUGCAGGAGACCCGGGUUCCAUGCCUGGGUCGGGAAGAUUCUUCUGGAGAAGGGAAUGCCAACCCACUCCAGUUUUCUUGCCUGGAAAAUUCCAUGAUGGCCUACCAUCCCAUAGUGGGUCACAAAGAGUCGGACACGACUGAGCAACACACACACACACACACAAUUUCAGGGGCUUCCGGAACACGGUGCAAGUCCUGGAUCAGUUUUGUGAUAAGCUCAGAAUCUGGAACUUUUCCUAAAGAACUACUAAUAGACCUUCUUAGGCUUACAUGCGUAAUGACAUGCAGGAGGAAAAAGAGUUCAUGAAUGAAACUGGCCAAGAGCAACAGCAAAUGUAAAAAUAAAUUUCCUCAUCCAAAGGCCCCCUUUUUAUCAUGUAUUGCUCUGUUCCAUACACACAUAAGGUUUGCUGCUUUUAUGGGUUCCCCAAGCAGAGUGAUUCAUUUCACUUUCCUCUGAGGGUUUUUUUCCCAAAAGAAUGAAAAAAAGGGGGCCAGCACAGAAUGAAUUCUGACCAUGAAUGAAGAUUAGGGGGUUCUUUGCAAUGGAUGUAUGUACUAUAGACAUAGACUUACAGAGUUUCAUUGAUGCAGAUAACAUAUAUACAUGCAUAAACUAUACAUUAGCAUUCACACUUUUUCAGAUAAAAAGGAUACUUUUUAUGCACGCGUGUGAAAAUACAAAAUCGUUUACGAAUGCAUUGCCUAUUUCCGUAUUAUGAAUUUCAUUCUACGUAUAGAUGUCUAGAUGAGUUGAUAGAUGGAUGAUGGAUGGGUGGAUGAAGGACUAGUGAAGAGGGGACACAGAGCCAUUCAUGCAGCAUUGAAAGUCUUUGGCCACUGGGUGUCAUGGUUUUCCCCAUAAUGGUUGACCCACCACAAGUAUUUGAGGGGUUCCUGUAUUCCUGGUGCAGGAGCUGGCAGUGUACAUGGCAAGUUUUAUUAAACCACACCACCUUCCUUUUUCAGAUUGCUGUGCUGUCUUUAAAACACAUUGUCAGUGUUAUUUUUCUGCCUGAAACUGGCUGAUGAGGAUUAAAUCUACAAAUAUUAUUUUUUAACGUCUGAAUAUUUAAUUGUCUCGAAAUUACAUAAUUGUGUUGGUCAUAUUUAGGUUUUAUUGUAUCAAAGUCAAAUCUGAAGAAUUUGUGCCGUACAUUUAUGCACGUGCUUGGAUAUGUUUGUAAUGAACUCUUUGCUCUACGGAAUUGCUAUAGUACAAAGACUAAGCAAUUACUAGAUAUUGUUGUUGAGUCUCUAAGUCAUGUCCAACUCUUUGCGACCCCAUGGACUGCAGCACACCAGGCUUCCCUGUCCAUCACCAUCUCCUGGAGUUUGCUCAAACUCAUGUCCAUCAAGUCAGUGAUGCCACGCAACCAUCGCAUCCUCUGUCGUCCCCUUCUCCUGCCAUCUUCAGUCUUUCCCAGCAUCACAGACCGGAAAAGACCAUCUUUUCAGCUCUUUGCAUCAGGUGGUCAGAAUAUUGGAGCUUAGGCUUCAACCAUCAGUUAUGUUGAUAAUUAUCAGACGUGGUGAUCACGUUUGAGCGUCUGCUUGCUGUUACCAGCGUGGCGUGGCCGGACGCAUGUGUGUUGGCUGACAUAUGACAAGAGUGAGUGCACCAUUAAUUCGAACCAGACAGCCGUAUUUCUCUCCUGUGGAAGUGAUUCACCCUGCCAGGUCCGAUGGCAGUGAGUGGUGGUGACAAUUAAAAGCAGUUGUGCUCGUUGCGUCACAGAAAUGCUACUGUGCUUCUUUUAGAAAAAAACACUGUCAGGGUGGAACAUGCCAGAUGGGAAGACUUGGCCACGUGCUCCGAGGACACCGUGGAGAGCGUUCUUGUGUUUUUUGACUUCUUGUAUUUUUCUCCCUCUGAAGACUAGUUAUCGCCAGAACUGCUAAGGUGAAUCUUAUGAAGACGGACGCCUAGUUUAAAAGCCCUAGUACGAUGGGAUAUGUGUGGUGAAAUUGUUGGAAAGGUGCAAGGAGCUCACGGGUCUGUUUUAUUUUUCUUCUUUCUGUUUAACUCUCAAAAAUGUGCAAGUUGUGCGUCAGUGGCACAGCACUGAGUCUUGGAAGAAUCUUUGAAUGACAGUGUUUGCAUAUUCUGAUUGUUAUUUGUAUAUAUAUAUAUAUAUAUAUAUUUUUUUUUUUUUUUUAAUGGUCUUUUGUGAGUUGGGUUAACAUCUUUAGUUUCCACACAGAGAGUCUGAUGAUGGCGUCGUGAUUCUCACUUAAAGUUACUGGGAGAGAUACAACAGUUAACAGUUUGCAAAACGGAUGGGUUCAUGGAAGGUCUGCUUUUGUUUGAAUGAAAGGGUCUUUUUUUUUUCCCCCCAUUCAAAUGGGGAAGAACACAGCCAAUGUCCAGUUCUUUCAAAUCCACAUUGAAAAUGGUUUAUGGAUGGUGCCAGAGGAGGAAUAAAAAAAUCAGCAAGAAAACAGGGAGGUGCUGUUCUCGGUUUCAGCUGUCAAUAGGAAAAAAAAAUUAAUGAGAUAAAAACGAAGAAAAUUCAAUAGGAAAGAAAAAAUUUAACGAGAUAAAAAUGAAGAAAAAUUCAAAAGCUCUCAUUAAACAUCUUCAGGCACUUACUACUUGAAUGAACCUGAAGUUCCCCUUCAACAAAACCCAUGCCCUCAGGGAACUGUCAAAUCAUCCAGAAGUCAGAUACUAAACAAAUAUUCACAGAGAUACCUCAUUAAAAACAUGAGAAGUUCUAUUGGUAGCCCUGUGUUGUUUUGGGUGUGCAGAGAAGGUUUCCCUGAUGAACUGACGUGUUGGUUCAUCAGGCUGGUGGGGAACCAAGUUUGUGAAUUAUUUGAGCUCAGCAAGGGCAUUCUGUUGAAUCCUGAACUGGAAUCAUGGACUGAAGCUGAAGCUCCAAUCCUUUGGCCACCUGAUUCAAAGAACCAACCCAUGGGAAAAGAAACCCUAAUGCUGGGAAAGACUGAAGGCAGGAGGACAAGGGGGCAACAGGAUGAGAUGGUUGGAUGGCAUCACCGACUCCAUGGAAGUGAGUUUGAGCAAACUUUGGGAGUUGGUGAUGGACAGGGAAGCCUGGCAUGCUGCGGUCCUUGGGGUUGCAAAGAGUCGGACACAACUGAGUGACUGAACUGAACUGCACAGAGCUGUCUAAUGGAGGAAAGCUCGUACUAAGUAGAGACUGAACACAUCUGGAAACUUUGUAGGUCUGGAUCUGUAGCUGAGUCUUGGGAAGAGGUUGGCAAGGGGGUUCCUCAAGGGCACACCUGAGGUCUGUGGUUGGAUCGGUGGAUGUUGGAAGGAUCCCAGCCUCAGGAAGAAGGUGAGGAAUCUUACCUGGUGGGCAGCUAUGGUCAGCACGGUCCUGCUCACGCUGCACAUGAGUUCUGUCUGGGGUGGGUGAACUUGCCAUGUCCUUGAAACCUUGGUGGAGAUGAAUAUCGAGAGACGUUUGGUCACUGCUCUGAAUCUCCAAAGAGAAACACGAGUUAGGGACGAGUAAUGAUGAAUUUUGCUUGUCAGCUUUCCUGGCCCACGGUGUCUGGGAAUGCUGUUCCCACAAAUACCUGCUGUUAUCUCAGUCAGUUGCUUAGGACCUACCUACAGAUGAAGGACAAAAAAAAAAAUAACAUCAGUAAAGGAAUUAUCCUCCAAUUAAAAAAAAAUGACAUCCCAGUGGAGCUCAGUUUUCACAGGCUGGCAGUGAGUUGACGUCAACACUUCACUGUGGGUUGACGUCACUCAUGGCUUCUUGUUUGUGGACUCACACCUUGAAUGAGGCCAAAACUUGAAUGUGGAGUCUUUGCUCGCCAGGAUGGUGGUUGAAGAGGCAGGGUUGAUGCCGGAGGCCACAGUUGCACAGCUUGGCUCUGGUGCGUGAUUUACCACAGCAGAUCUUUUUCUUUGGUAUUUUUUUUUUUUUUUUCCAAACAUCUAUUUAGGC
ensembl:lncRNA